UACGUAGGGACCAAGCGUUGUUCGGAUUUACUGGGCGUAAAGGGCGCGUAGGCGGCUUGACAAGUCACUUGUGAAAUCUCCGGGCUAACUCGGAACGGCCAAGUGAAACUGUCAUGCUAGAGUGCAGAAGGGGCAAUCGGAAUUCUUGGUGUAGCGGUGAAAUGCGUAGAUAUCAAGAGGAACACCUGAGGUGAAGACGGGUUGCUGGGCUGACACUGACGCUGAGGCGCGAAAGCCAGGGGAGCAAACGGG
rnacentral:rRNA from 1 species